rnacentral:tRNA from 1 species
GGGGGUGUGACUCAGCGGUAGAGUGUGUGCUUAGCACGAGCCAGGCUCUGGGUUCAAUUCCCAGCACCAAGA